ACUAAAAAACAACUGUAAUUGAAAGAAAUCUAGAAAAAAAAAACAGUAAUUGUCCAAAUGGCUAGAUUUCCAUACCUUUAAUUGUCUUCUGUGAUGAGAUUGAGAUGCAUUUGCGAUUGCAAUUGCAAUCAAGCAAUUACACAAUUUCAUAGCAUGGCUGUGCUUUCCGGUAGUAUUGUGAUCAUUAGGUCUGCAGAAUUAUAGGCAUUCGCUGCUGUAUUUCAUAGCAUGGCUUGGGGUGGGAUGUGCUUUACGGUAGUAUAGUGAUUAUUACCUGGAGCAUUCGCUGCUUUAUUUCCAGACAAUAAUCUCUCGGAGUGACAGGACGGGUGUUUUACAAGGCUGAGGACAUGCUAGCAGAGUGGAACGGAGUUCAAGUGGGACAUGAAGACAUAAGGGCAUCGCAAUCUGCUUUCUCUUCUUGUUGUUUUGGGUGAAAUGUGCAAUUGCAAGCAAGCAAUUAUACAUAUUUGUGGAUGAUGCAACUCUAUUCAAAUUUCAUAGCAUGGUUGUGCAGAGGAAUUGUUCACCAGCAUGGAGUCAUUAUGAUUGGUAGCAAGAGUUUCUUGCCUGGCGCAGGUAUCUCCCACCCGUGUGGCGUCUUGCUUGAUCUACCGCCCCAAUUAACUACCGGUUUUGAAGAUAUAUUCAGGCCCUUUUCUGUCCAACCCAAUUACCUUACAACAUUGAUAAUAUCAUAUGAGCUUUUCAAAGGUUCACCUGUACUCUUCCAGUCACCUUUUAUCAUUAACUUCAAUAUUUUCUGUUGUGUUUUGAUUACAGCUCAAUGGACUAUCUGGGGCUUAAUCAGUAUACUGCAUACUGCAUGUACGAUACUCGCCAACUAAAACCAUAAAUAACAGACUACCUGAUGGACUGGAAUGUAGGUUUUGCAUGAAUGGAAGACCCUGGCAAUUUGACACUGGAAGUUGGGCUUCAUGAUACAACGAGGGACCUAUUAUAAAGACUAAGUUAAUAAUUUGGUAAAGGCAAUGAAAGAAGCAUCUGGGACUUAAUCAGCGUGUACUGCAUACUACAUGUAUGGUACUCACUAACCAAAACAAUAACAACUACCAGAUGGACUGGAAUGUAGGUUUUGAAUGUAAGAACCCUUAUACCAUGGAUUAACUCGUUCUUCUGACAUCAUAUCAUCCAAAAAAGCUUAAAAUUACACCAUGGAUUAACUCGUUCUUCUGGAUUACCAUGAUUUAACUCGUUCUUCUGUAUUACUUUGAUUUGGUACUUUGAAUUACAAUGAAGAACUGGCAAUUCCAAAAAAGCUUAAAAAGCUUGUCUGUUUACAUAUAUUUACUAUAUUAACUGUUUGUUUGAAACCAUAGUUGAGCGCAAUGGUGUUCAAUUUGAGUAAGAUCCCUUCCUCUUCUUCGCUAAUUAUAAAUUCGUAUUAUUGUUGUUUAGUAAUAUGCAAUGGUGUUCAUAGGUUCAAAUGCAUGACAGUCUUAAAAGAAUGUAUUUUAGCUGUUAAUAUAUUAGAUAGGAUAUGUUGUUAGAUGCUUUCCUUUAUACGAGUUCAGGGGAGUUGAGUGGUUGUUUAGCACUCAUCCCUCUCCCACUGAAGCCCAUUCUGAUGAGAAAACGGGCUGUCAUGCAUUGGAUUAUUCUUUUAAGGUAAGUUUGAUAGUCUUAACUGUAGUUCAUUCCUAAGAUUCAGAAAAGACUCAUUGGCUUUCCAUUAUUUUUUUUAAAUAUGUUAGAAGAAGAGAGUGAUUUUCUGUUGUCUUCAAGCCCUCCACAUUGAGUUCUGACAUUGGAUCCUCUGGCAAUGUAUUGUUUUGACUACUCUCUUGUGCUUCUUUGUUUUAUCUUCAAGCCACCACCUCCAUAACACUAUGCCUGAUUCUUACUCUGUUGUAAAUCAAUCCCAUUUUCUUCUCCUUCCAGUGUGAAGGACUUCAUUUGCUGUUUUCCUUGUCUUCAGGUUUGGGUUUUUUUACAUUGAAGCAGAGAGCAGAACAAUAUCAGCAAUAAACAACGACAGUUAAUUAUUGCACUAUGCAUCAUUUGAUGAGUUUGGUGUUAAUAAUAUAUUAAUGUUAGGUGUGAAAUGUGAAAU